rnacentral:lncRNA from 1 species
CAGUGUUUGACCUGUUGGAAGGUAAUAAGGACCCUGGAGGAGAUGAUGAGGGAAGUGGAGUGUGUGGGAUGCCACUGACAGAUUUGGAUGCAGGCAGCCGGGAGGUGUGUGUCGGGGCUGCGUGUCGGAGCCUGGGGGACCGUGUUGCGGAGCACAAAAGGAAUGUGGAAGCGGCGAGCUUGGUGGCAGCGCUGGCAACUGAAGCAUACCGGAGCGGUGUGGACGUGGGGUGGCGGGAAGCCAGGGUGGUUGGCCAAACCACAAGCAGAGUGGGGUUGCCGGUGGCGGGGGGCUUGCAAAUGGUGAGGGACGCGGGAUUUAGUGCUGUUGUGGACAGCAGGAAUGUGGAGGGGCUCCCGAAGCCGUGGGAGU